rnacentral:tRNA from 1 species
UCCCUGGUAGCUCAGCUAGUAAAGAAUCCACCUUGAAGGCAGGAGACCUAGGUUCAAUUCCUGGCUUGGGAA